GCCUGUGUGCUCCCGCGCAGCGGCAGGGGUCUCGGCUCCCGGCACCCCGACCCCCUCUGGCUUUGCAGGUUUCCGGGCGCCGCUGCGAUGCGCCGUGAGCGAGCUUUGGCCUACCUGGCUGGCAGUGGAGGGCGCUCAGCCAGUGGACGCUGGUGAAGCUCCGUUUUAGAGCCAGUGCAGCGCGGUAGCUGCGAGGAUGAGUCAGAUACUUGGGCGCUGCAGGGACUGGGAGGCCGGCUGCAAAGCUGAGCGCGCCUCUCCGUUGAAUGGUGGUGGCGUAGCUGGAGUCGUUUUCCUGGUUGCUGUCGUUGCUCUCAGAAAGCUGAGACGUGCCCAAGAACUGAGUAGCUGUCUUGUGUUUAAAAAAAAAAAAAAUCAGUUUAUGCCAAUGCACUGGGCGCUAAUGUCACAGAAAUACGGUGUGAUAAUAUACAGAACUCUCCCUCUGGGAGGCGCUCACGUUCUAGAAGGGAGAGCGGAAAAUCUGUCCUCCCGCUGCUAUUUUGUCUCGGCGGCAUUGUCCCUGAUGUGUGAUUUGCCACGCUUACUGUCUGCAACUCCCAAUGUAAGCCCAAGUUCAAAAAAUAGGAAGUUUUGGUCCAUUUUCUUUAAAGUUGCGUUAUCAGCGAACUAGCACAAUGCCCGGCACGUGGUAAGAGCCCAGUCCCUGCUUGUUGAAUGAAUUGGCAAGCUGGAAAAGGUAUGCAGGUGAUGUUAGGUGUAAUGGGGAAGUAGGAAGUGGAGGAAGAUAGAGAACGGGUGCUGGUUGUACCUGGUAAGUGAAGCGGUUGGGUUAAGCCUCACUGAGUCAGAGCCGUGAGAGCAAAGCUUGAGAGAAGGGAUGCAGUAACCAGGUGGAUCCCUGGGAGGGGGGCACAGGGAGAGAGUACAAAGAUCAGAGGCCAGAGUGAUUGGAGCAGAAUGAGCAAUCGAGAGAGCUGUGGGCGAUGUCAGACAUUUUAGGGCCACGCAGGCCAUUUCAAGGGCUUUGGCUUUUAUUGUAAGCGAAGUGUGAGGCCAUCUUCAAAUUUUGCUCCAAGGAAAAAGAACAUCCAACUUAGGUUUUCAGAGGGUGGCUUUGGAUGCUGUGUGGAGAAGAAUCUAUCGAAGACAGAGAAGCGGGGAGAGCAGUGAAGAGCAGCGGGAAGAACCCAUGGAGAAGACAGGCACUGGUUGUGAGAACGGUACCGAAUAAGGCCAGUGUCAUGGGGAAUGAAGGCAGGAGCCAAGCUUGGGAUGUGGUGAUGUCUGCCAGACUUCUCCAAGCCUUAGCCGGAUCUCACAGUCUAUUACCCAAAGCGCAUCAGUGCCGAAGACCCAUUCAUUGGAUGUUAAGUCCACGUAAGGAAUUUGAAACUACAACAUGCAACACCCUGACAAUAUGUCAAAACUUGGAUUUGUUCUUUACUGAUGCAUCGGCUGGUGGUUUGAAUAAGUUUCAGAUGCUGGGAAUGAAUGAGAAAAUAUUAAAUACAAGCCUGUUCUCUCCACUAAAUAUUGCACGUUGCCAGGGUGAAAGAGUGCAGCUUCCAACCCUGAAGUCAUUGGAUACUUGCAGGAAAGUGACCCACAAACCAAACUUCUUGGGUUCUAAGUGGUUUAUAAAAAUAUUAAGGAGGAAUUACUCAUCUGUAUCAACCGAAACCUUUGUUCCCAAACAAGACGUUCCUCAAAUCAAGAGACCACUGAAAGCUUCCAGGACCAGGCAACCAUCCAGGACCAACCUCCCAGUGCUGUCCGUGAAUGAGGACCUGAUGCACUGCACAGCAUUCGCAACAGCAGACGAGUAUCACCUGGGAAGUCUGUCCCAAGAGCUGACCUCCCACGGAUACGUGGAAGUAACAAGCUUGCCUAGAGAUGCUGCAAAUAUUUUGGUGAUGGGUGUGGGAAGUUCUGCAAAAGAAGGUGAUCCUGGAACAGUGUUCUUCUUCAGGGAAGGAGCUGCUGUGUUUUGGAAUGUGAAAGACAAAACUAGGAAACAUGUGAUGCAAGUUCUAGAAAAACAUGAAAUUCAGCCCUAUGAAAUUGCGUUGGUACACUGGGAAAACGAAGAGCUUAACUACGUAAAAGUAGAGGGGCAGUCAAAACUUCACAGAGGGGAAAUCAGGUUAAACUCGGAGCUGGAUUUAGACGAUGUCAUUCUGGAGAAAUUCGCUUUCUCCAAUGCUCUUUGUCUUUCAGGCUUUAAAAGCUGGGAAGAAAGUGAAACUAUCUCACAAAGAAGUCAUGCAGAAAAUGGGUGAACUAUUUUCCCUAAGGCAUCGUAUAAACUUGAGUUCAGACUUCUUGAUCACUCCUGACUUCUACUGGGACAGAGAAAACCUGGAAGAGCUCUAUGAUAAAACCUGUCAAUUCCUUAGCAUUGCUCGAAGAGUUAAGGUCAUGAAUGAAAAACUUCAGCACUGC